AUUGAACGCUGGCGGCAGGCUUAACACAUGCAAGUCGAGCGAGCGGCGGACGGGUGAGUAAUGUCUGGGAAACUGCCUGAUGGAGGGGGAUAACUACUGGAAACGGUAGCUAAUACCGCAUACCAUCAGAUGUGCCCAGAUGGGAUUAGCUAGUAGGUGGGGUAAUGGCUCACCUAGGCGAAUAUCCCUAGCUGGUCUGAGAGGAUGACCAGCCAACCUGGAACGGAGACACAGUCCAUACUCCUACGGGAGGCAGCAGUGGGGAAUAUUGCACAAGGGGCGCAAGCCAGAGGAAGCCAUGCCGCGUGUGUGAAGAGGGCCUUCGGGUUGUAAAGCACUUUCAGCGGGUAGGCGUUACUCGCAGAAGAAGCACCGGCUAACUCCGUGCCAGCAGCCGCGGUAAUAC
rnacentral:rRNA from 1 species